rnacentral:lncRNA from 10 species
CUGGGCCCAAGAUUCCUGGCAUCCUUCCAAUCUCACCUCCCCCGCCCUAUUUACCCAGGAGCAAAAGAAGCGGAGGGAAGCAACACAGCGCAGCGUGACUACGUGCUUGAUCUGUCUCCUCCUAACGGGCAUGCAGUGAGUACAAAUGAAGUCUGUGGGCCAACAAGGAGCGAGGAGCAGUUUCCUGGAAGCCCUGGGCUGGUGUUUGACUUGCUUUGAGAUAGAAUAAAUGGGAGAAAGAGACUUUAUGGGACAUCUGGGCCUAGGGCUCCUGGAUGCUGUGCUGAAAACACCACGUACAGAAGCCAGUCUAACCUUCUGGAUGAUGAGAGCCCAGAUGCAGUACAGAGGUGCCCCAGCCAACAAUCAGCUGCUAUCUGAAUCCCAUCUGGAUCCCAUCUGAAUCCCAUGUCACCAUGAAUGAGGCCACCUUAGCCCAGCCAGCACAGCUGAAAGCCAGAAGCAGCCGCAUGCACAAGCCCAGGGGAAGCCCACAGAGGAACCACCAGCCAACACACAGAAUUGCAAGCAGUUAAGCAACUAAGAUUAAGACAACAAUUUUAAAAUGAACCAGGUCCGGCCGGGUGCGGUGGCUCUCAGGCCUGUAAUCCCAGCACUUUGGGAGGCCGAAGCGAGCGGGUCACCGGAGGUUGGGAGUUCGAGACCAGCCUGACCAACAUGGAGAAACCCCGUCUCUACUAAAAAUACAAAGUUAGCCAGGCGUGGUGGCGCAUGCCUGUAAUCCCAGCUACUCGGGAGGCUGAAGUAAGGUUAUAACAUGGCCUGGCGUGCAGUACGUG